rnacentral:rRNA from 1 species
CCUACGGGAGGCUGCAGUGAGGAAUAUUGGUCAAUGGACGAGAGUCUGAACCAGCCAAGUAGCGUGAAGGAUGACUGCCCUAUGGGUUGUAAACUUCUUUUAUAAAGGAAUAAAACGAGGCACGUGUGCCUUUUUGCAUGUACUUUAUGAAUAAGGAUCGGCUAACUCCGUGCCAGCAGCCGCGGUAAUACGGAGGAUCCGAGCGUUAUCCGGAUUUAUUGGGUUUAAAGGGAGCGUAGAUGGGUUGUUAAGUCAGUUGUGAAAGUUUGCGGCUCAACCGUAAAAUUGCAAUUGAUACUGGCAGUCUUGAGUACAGUAGAGGUAGGCGGAAUUCGUGGUGUAGCGGUGAAAUGCUUAGAUAUCACGAAGAACCCCGAUUGCGAAGGCAGCUUACUAAACUGUGACUGACAUUGAUGCGCGAAAGUGUGGGUAGCAAACAGGAUUAGAUACCCGAGUAGUC